rnacentral:rRNA from 1 species
UACGUAGGGUGCAAGCGUUAUCCGGAAUUACUGGGCGUAAAGCGCACGCAGGCGGCUUCUCAAGUUCGACGUGAAAGCUCCCGGCUUAACUGGGAGAGGUCGUUGAAGACUGAGAUGCUUGAGGCAAGGAGAGGGGUGUAGAAUUCCCGGUGUAGUGGUGGAAUGCGUAGAUAUCGGGAGGAAUACCAGUGGCGAAAGCGGCACCCUAGCCUUAGCCUGACGCUCAGGUGCGAAAGCGUGGGGAGCGAACGGG